rnacentral:rRNA from 1 species
AGAGAGGAGCUUGCUCUUCUUGGAUGAGUUGCGAACGGGUGAGUAACGCGUAGGUAACCUGCCUUGUAGCGGGGGAUAACUAUUGGAAACGAUAGCUAAUACCGCAUAACAAUGGAUGACACAUGUCAUUUAUUUGAAAGGGGCAAUUGCUCCACUACAAGAUGGACCUGCGUUGUAUUAGCUAGUAGGUGAGGUAAUGGCUCACCUAGGCGACGAUACAUAGCCGACCUGAGAGGGUGAUCGGCCACACUGGGACUGAGACACGGCCCAGACUCCUACGGGAGGCAGCAGUAGGGAAUCUUCGGCAAUGGGGGCAACCCUGACCGAGCAACGCCGCGUGAGUGAAGAAGGUUUUCGGAUCGUAAAGCUCUGUUGUAAGUCAAGAACGGGUGUGAGAGUGGAAAGUUCACACUAUGACGGUAGCUUACCAGAAAGGGACGGCUAACUACGUGCCAGCAGCCGCGGUAAUACGUAGGUCCCGAGCGUUGUCCGGAUUUAUUGGGCGUAAAGCGAGCGCAGGCGGUUUGAUAAGUCUGAAGUUAAAGGCUGUGGCUCAACCAUAGUUCGCUUUGGAAACUGUCAAACUUGAGUGCAGAAGGGGAGAGUGGAAUUCCAUGUGUAGCGGUGAAAUGCGUAGAUAUAUGGAGGAACACCGGUGGCGAAAGCGGCUCUCUGGUCUGUAACUGACGCUGAGGCUCGAAAGCGUGGGGAGCGAACAGGAUUAGAUACCCUGGUAGUCCACGCCGUAAACGAUGAGUGCUAGGUGUUGGAUCCUUUCCGGGAUUCAGUGCCGCAGCUAACGCAUUAAGCACUCCGCCUGGGGAGUACGACCGCAAGGUUGAAACUCAAAGGAAUUGACGGGGGCCCGCACAAGCGGUGGAGCAUGUGGUUUAAUUCGAAGCAACGCGAAGAACCUUACCAGGUCUUGACAUCCCGAUGCUAUUUCUAGAGAUAGAAAGUUACUUCGGUACAUCGGUGACAGGUGGUGCAUGGUUGUCGUCAGCUCGUGUCGUGAGAUGUUGGGUUAAGUCCCGCAACGAGCGCAACCCCUAUUGUUAGUUGCCAUCAUUCAGUUGGGCACUCUAGCGAGACUGCCGGUAAUAAACCGGAGGAAGGUGGGGAUGACGUCAAAUCAUCAUGCCCCUUAUGACCUGGGCUACACACGUGCUACAAUGGUUGGUACAACGAGUUGCGAGUCGGUGACGGCGAGCUAAUCUCUUAAAGCCAAUCUCAGUUCGGAUUGUAGGCUGCAACUCGCCUACAUGAAGUCGGAAUCGCUAGUAAUCGCGGAUCAGCACGCCGCGGUGAAUACGUUCCCGGGCCUUGUACACACCGCCCGUCACACCACGAGAGUUUGUAACACCCGAAGUCGGUGAGGUAACCUUUGGAGCC